rnacentral:rRNA from 1 species
AUUGAACGCUGGCGGCAUGCUUUACACAUGCAAGUCGAACGGUAACAGGUUAAGCUGACGAGUGGCGAACGGGUGAGUAAUGCAUCGGAACGUGCCCGGUCGUGGGGGAUAACGCAGCGAAAGCUGCGCUAAUACCGCAUACGAUCUGAGGAUGAAAGCGGGGGACCGUAAGGCCUCGCGCGAUCGGAGCGGCCGAUGUCAGCUUAGGUAGUUGGUGGGGUAAAGGCUCACCAAGCCAACGAUCUGUAGCUGGUCUGAGAGGACGACCAGCCACACUGGGACUGAGACACGGCGCAGACUCCUACGGGAGGCAGCAGUGGGUAAUUUUGGACAAUGGGCGAAAGCCUGAUCCAGCAAUGCCGCGUGCAGGAAGAAGGCCUUCGGGUUGUAAACUGCUUUUGUACGGAGCGAAAAGGUCUCCUCUAAUACAGGGGGCUCAUGACGGUACCGUAAGAAUAAGCACCGGCUAACUACGUGCCAGCCGCCGCAGUAA